rnacentral:misc_RNA from 1 species
UGGUUCUGGCAUCGAUGAAGAACGCAGCGAAAUGCGAUAAGUAGUGUGAAUUGCAGAAUUCAGUGAAUCAUCGAAUUUUUGAACGCACCUCGCGCUCCUUGGUAUUCCGAGGAGCAUGCCUGUUUGAGUGUCAUGUUAAUCCUCAACCCCCUCGGGUUGGACUUUGGACGUUUGCGGGAGCCGCUUCCGCUCGUCUCAAAUGCAUUAGCGGGGUUUCAGGCAUAGAGAACCCACCGUAGGAGUUUAGUUAUACUUGCGCCGCGCUGGGCCUCUUCAGCGCCCCUUUGGACCGCUCACCAGCGGACGCCUCCGCGCGUCGAACUUGCCUUCUGGCCUCAAAUCAGGUAGGACUACCCGCUGA